rnacentral:lncRNA from 1 species
GUUUUCCCCCGCAAUUUCAGGCUGCCAUUGACCUGGGUAUAAUAGAUGCUUCCAUCGGUUUCUUCUUUAUUCUACUGCGUGUUUACUCCGGAGAAGGACAAUCUACUUUGAUCUGCACAAAACGAAGAGUGAGAAAGGGGUAGAGAGUGAGUGAUAGACCAAUCGCACCCACCAAGAGGAAGAAAGAAGAAGAAGAGGAAUCUGGAGGCAAUUCUGGAUCAGCUGUCUUUUCCCAAAUGACACUGUGAGGUUGUUUGCUCGACAGUCGACACAGAGAGAAACAAAAAGAGAGAGGGAGAGAGCAAAGAGAACAGGGGAAGAAGGGAGAGAGCGAAGAGAAGAAGCCACAGAGACCCAUUUCCUAUUUGGCUCCAGGAUGAUUUACUUUUGGCUUGAAACGAUGUUUAGAGAUUUUUUUUUUUUUUUUUUUUUUUGGCAUUGCUAUCCUUAUGAAAAUUGGUUACCUAAGAUUUAAUUGAUUGGCAUUAGAAACUUCAUUUGCUAUUAGGUAUUUGAUUUCACUCUCUGAUUCUAACACUGAAGUAUUCGGAUUUACAAAAUCUUAAUCUUUUGGUGUUACUAUGCUAAUGAAGUUUUGGUGGUAUUACAGUUGGUUAACUUAGAUUUGAUUAAUUAGCUCUUUAAUUCGGAGUUGUGUUAUACCAAACGAAAUUAAAUUUUAGACUUUCAAUAACAUACAUAGGCUUAAUGGUGAAUUUAUCUACUUGGGAUUGUUUUCUGAAAGCAACUUUUGUCGGUACUGUGCAUUUGCGAAAUUACUAUGCUGAAUUUAUAGGCUCUAAUUUGCUGCUUUUGUCUUAGGUUGCUGAUAAGCUGUUUGCUGCAGAAAAACUACCUUCCAAAAGCCUUGCUUGAAAUCAAGAGCGUGGACAUGUUUAAUUAUCAUUGUGAAAUCCGUUGAACAGUGAUUUUGGGAUUGCAGAGGGUUUCAUUGCUGUAUCUUUUCUCAAGUCUGCUGAAAUUUGUCAAUCAUCUUAAAAACUAUAUUGCAGAAAGGUGUCGGAAAGAAGAGAAGCAAAGAGCAGUGGAGAGGUGUAGACUACUAGAACCCAAAUUGAUAAGAAACAAUUAAAAGCAUGUGUUAAAAACUUAAAUGCUCUGGAGGACAUUUCAAUAUGCAUUCAAGGUUUAAUACAUUUGCUGGUGAACAUGAUGAUGUUGCAGUAACUUUCCAGUAAUUUUGAUCUCUGUAAUUGUCUUAAUCUUCAUCUAUUUGUCUUCAAUACUAGAAUUUUGCUUUGCUUUGAUCGUCAAGUAACCAGCAAAAUAUCACUUCCUUUUGGGUUAUGUUGUUGAUCAUUGUGAUUCCUUUUUACACCUAAAAUGUUCACAAAUAGCAGAAUCCUUGGC